AGACAAUGUGGCUGAUUAAAGCUGAAAACUGUAAAUUUUCAUAUAAAUUUAAUUUUUUUGU
rnacentral:tRNA from 1 species